rnacentral:rRNA from 1 species
AGUCGAGCGGAUGAGAAGAGCUUGCUCUUCGAUUCAGCGGCGGACGGGUGAGUAAUGCCUAGGAAUCUGCCUGGUAGUGGGGGACAACGUUUCGAAAGGAACGCUAAUACCGCAUACGUCCUACGGGAGAAAGCAGGGGACCUUCGGGCCUUGCGCUAUCAGAUGAGCCUAGGUCGGAUUAGCUAGUUGGUGAGGUAAUGGCUCACCAAGGCGACCAUCCGUAACUGGUCUGAGAGGAUGAUCAGUCACACUGGAACUGAGACACGGUCCAGACUCCUACCGGAGGCAGCAGUGGGGAAUAUUGGACAAUGGGCGAAAGCCUGAUCCAGCCAUGCCGCGUGUGUGAAGAAGGUCUUCGGAUUGUAAAGCACUUUAAGUUGGGAGGAAGGGCAUUAACCUAAUACCUUA